CUACGGGAGGCACCAGUGAGGAAUAUUGCACAAUGGGGGAAACCCUGAUGCAGCAACGCCGCGUGGAGGAUGACGCAUUUCGGUGUGUAAACUCCUUUUAUAUGUCAAGAAAAUGACGGUAGCAUAUGAAUAAGCACCGGCUAACUCCGUGCCAGCAGCCGCGGUAAUACGGAGGGUGCAAGCGUUAUUCGGAAUCACUGGGCGUAAAGGACGCGUAGGCGGGUUUGCAAGUCAGGUGUGAAAUCCUAUGGCUCAACCAUAGAACUGCACUUGAAACUGCGAACCUAGAGUAUGGAAGGGGCAGAUGGAAUUAGUGGUGUAGGGGUAAAAUCCGUAGAUAUCACUAGGAAUACCAAAAGCGAAGGCGAUCUGCUGGGACAUUACUGACGCUAAGGCGUGAAAGCGUGGGGAGCAAACAGGAUUAGAUACCCCGGUAGUC
rnacentral:rRNA from 1 species